CAAGACGCAGAUGUGAACUAGGCUUGCCUGGUUUCUUGUUGAGUUUUGGAAAUGGUAGCUAGUUCAACUGGAAAAUGAAGAUAACUGCAGGGAAGAAAGAGAAGACGGAGAGCCUGAAUAAAAUAUUUACAGAAGUCCAAAGGGAUGUCAAUAGUUUAUCGAAAUGCACAGCUCCAAAGCCCAAACAGCCAACACAGGUUGUCUGUAAAGCACCAAAGGAACCUGCAGAUGUGGACAAUGCUGCCCAGAUGUUCUCUCAGCUGUAGUCCAGAAUGGCAACCUGAAUUGAAAACAUGAAUAAAAUACGGACAGUCCAUACUGCCUCAUGAACAUAAAAAUAGACCUUCAAUAACAUCAAAUGUAAUAUGACUGAUAUGGUAAUAUAUGUAAACAUAGUUUCAUUAAGAUGAGUGCAAUAGAUAAAAAAAAAGGGUUUCUGAGAGGUUUACAUGCUGUACAGUUGCAGUUUAUGAAUUCUUAAAUGUAUCUCCUUUCACAAGACUGUCCUGCCAAUGCUAUGUCCUGUAUUCAACAGCACCCAGUAUUGUUUAUUUUUAUUUUGGAUUUUCACAUUAUUAAAGUAUGGGUAAUAUGAAAUAUUGUGUAAUUUAUUGUAAGCUAUGUGGGUGUAUCUGUAAUUUUUUUAAAUUGCUAAUUCUUAUCCUUCUUGCAGACAUAUAGCUCUGUGCAACUUGCUGUAUGUCUUGUUGUCAGUAUGCUAGACACAUCCAGCUGUAACCAGUUGACAUCAGAGGUCAUGCUUUACUGAUGUGCUGCUGAUUGCCUGUCUGUCUGGAUCCAGCCUCCACUUUGGAGCCUGUAUUUAGUCGAUAAGCUUGGGGCUGUCAGAAGACAAGUGUGACUGGCAAAUGCAGCAAACACGAUUACAUUAGCUUUUUAGUUUGUAACAUGCAUUUGUCUGUUAGCUGUUUUUCUGGAAAUAGGUAUUGGUGAAACGAUAUGUAAACAGUACUGUAAAUCGCCCUGGAUAAUAGUAUUUACAAUUAUUUUGAUCUAAAUUUUAGAUUUCUUUAAAUCCUUUGUGGUGACUGUUAAUAACAUUUUCAAGAUUACAAACCUAAAAGUGUUUCAUAUGUCUCAGUGAUUGUGCUCAGUUAGGAUAAUCUGACAGCUGCUGCAUUGGUAAGCAGGCUGGCCUUAGGCAGGUACGUCCUUCUGAGACCCAAAUGGCACAAUUAACUGACAGCGGGGUGCCCUCAUGAUGCCCUGUGUAAAUAUAUUGUGCACGCAACUUAUAUUCACAAAGAUAUUAUAAGCUACCACAUAGGACAAACUUCCACUCAUACAGUGAAGUGCCAUUUAGGCUUCUUUUCCACAGCAGGGCACAUGGUGAAUUUUUACAUUUUACUUGAUAAAAUGGGGGUAUGCUUCAAUUCGUGAUUCAGCCUUGUUCUGGAAUUUCGGUAUCUCCACUUGGGAUUUUAGCUGAACCGUUGAUUGCCAUGUGGUGUGGAAGUGUGAGAAUCAUGGCACCUGUCAGUGGGUGGGAUAUAUUAGGCAGCAAGUGAACAUUCUGUCCUCAAUGUUGAUGUGUUAGAAGCAGGGAAAAUGGGCAAGCGUAAGGAUCUGAGUGACUUUGACAAGGGCCAAAUUGUGAUGGCUGGAAGACUGGGUGGGAGCAUCUCCAAAACUGCAGCCCUUGUGGGGUGUUCCUGGUCAGCAGCGGUCAGUACCUAUCAAAGGUGGUCCAAGGUAGGAAAACUGGGCGGCCAAGGCUCAUUGAUGCACGGGGGGAGAGAAGGCUGGCCCAUGUGGUCCAAUCCAACAGACGAGCUAUUGUAGCUCAAAUUGCUGAAAAAGUUAAUGCUGGUACUGAUAGAAUGGUGUCAGAACACAGUGCAUCCCAGUUUGUUGUGUAUUGGGCAGCAUAGCUGAAGACCAGUCAGGGUGCCCAUGCUGACCAGUCCACUGCUGGAAGCGCCUACAAUGGGCAAGUGAACAUCAGAACUGGACCACAGAAAAUGGGAGAAGAUGACCUGGUCUGAUAAAUCAUGUUUCUUUUUAAAUCACGUGGAUGGCCGGGUGCGUGUGCGUCGCUUAACUGGAGAACACAUGGCACCAGGAUGCACUAUGGGAAGGAGGCAAGCUGGCGGAGGCGGUGUGAUGCUUUGGGCAAUGUUCUUCUGGGAAACCUUGGGUCCUGCCAUUCAUGUGGAUGUUAUUUUGACAUGUACCACCUACCUAACCAUUGUUGCAUAAUGUUAUGGCUGAUCAGCGUAGAUGCGCAUAUUGCCAUACUGUGCAUUAGCAUCUCAAAGGUCAGGUUAAAAGUUACAUGGAAACAGUGCAAAUCCAGUGGUACAGAGUUAGAAUUCAUCAGUAAAAGCAAACUAUUAUAUCACUAAAGUAAAUUAAUUUACAUAUUACAGAAACAAGACAAAACAGACUUAUAAACUCAUCUAACAUAAUUAUAUUAAACAAACAGUAUGCCUGGGAGUUGGUAAUUAAACGGAGUGUCUAUUUGCACCCAGGUGAAUAUAGCCACACGGCAGCUAAUCGGCUAUUUACAACCACCCAAAUAAAUUACGUAAUGAGUAGCAGAUAGCUACGUGCAUCAACGGCUGCGUAACAUAAGUGGAUAGCUACAUACAUCAAAGGCAGCAGACUCCAAAGGAUACUAGUCACACGGCUUUAACAGCUGGCUCACUGCAGUAGGUAGGGCGUCAGUCUUAUAAUCUCAAGGUUGUGAGUUUGAGCCUCACAGAGGGCAUGGCUUUCACAGCAUCUCGUUGUGCUUGUUCAAUGAAAUCAAUGAAAUCUAAUAAAAAUACAAAGUUGAUAUGUGCCUCAGCAGUUGCAGGUGCCAAAGGAGGUUUCAAUUUAAAAAGGUAGGCUACAUUAAACACAAAAUAUAACCUUUUCAACAACAUUGUGUUUUCUCACUGUUUGUAUAAUUAGACUAAAAUUUUCCAGUGUGUUAACUUCUAUGGUUAGCUAUGCCCAACUAAUUGAGCAAAUGUUAGGCGUUAGCCAAAUUUAGCAAAUGUAAGCCAGUAAUAAUGGAGGCAUACAGUAAUUUUGCUAACUAGUAGCGUUAGUGCUAGGUAGCUCUAACUGGCAACACCCGGACACCUGGGUGCAAAUAUCAUCUGCCUUUAAUUCCACCCCAGAUGAAAAUAUUGUUGGCUACAGACACCUGGGUGCAAAUAGCAUCUGCCUUAAUUAAAUUAUUGUUGAUCAAGUAACAUUUUACUGAAGAGUUAUGAAUUCACAUGCACCUGUGCAUCUCACAUAAAUGAUCCAUUGGGUCCAGUACAGGAAUGUAUGAAUAAAUAUGCACUCUGGUAUGUCGCUCUGAAUGAAAUAACCUGAAAAUGACCAAUGUUAAUGGAUGUCCACACGAUGGUGCUAUUAGAAGACUAAGGGUUGAUGGGUUGUGUGAACAAGAACAUGGUGUGUGAGUGUUGUGUGUGUGUAAGACAGACAGUGAGAUACUGAAUCUAAAUGAUGGUCCAUUUGCAGUGUGUCACUCUUACGGCACAAGUGGUUUUUUUACUUUGACAAGCUAACACCCAGUGGUCACAUUUCCUGCCCUCCCCAUUGAGAAUGUACAGUGGAUAUAAAGAGUCUACACAGCCCUGUUAAUAUGCCAGGUUCUUGUGAUGUAAAAGAAUGAGAUAAAGAUAAAUCAUAUAACUUUUUCCACCUUUAAUGUGACCUAUAACGUGAACAAUUCAAUUGAAAAACAAACAAAUCUUUGAGGAGGAAAAAUAAAAAACACAAUAACCUGGUUGCAUAAGUGUGCAUACACCCUUAAACUGAUACUUUGUUGAAGCACCUUUUGAUUUUAUUACAGCACUCAGUCUUUUUGGGUAGGAGUCUAUUAGCAUGGCACAUCUUGACGUGGCAAUAUUUGCCAACUCUUCUUUGCAAAAGCACUCCAAGUCUGUCAGAUUGCGAGGACAUCCCCUGUGAAAAUGCCAGGUUUUUGUGAUGCAAAAGAAUGAGACAAAAAUAAAUCAUGUCAGAACUUUUUCCACUUUUAAUGUGACCUAUAAUGUGAACAAUUCAAUAUAAAAACGAACUGAAAUCUUCGAGGGGGAAACAAAUUAAAACCUUAACCUAUUUGCAUAAGUGUCCUCACCCUCUUAUAACUGGGACUGUGUUCAAAAUUAACCAAUCACAUUCAAACUCAUGUUGAAUAGAAGUCAUUACACACCAGCCAUCAUUUAAAGUGAUGUAACAUGUAAUGUUACAUCACUUUAAAUGUGAUGUAACUUUAUUCAUCAAAAAUAAAGUUCAGCUGUUCUUUUUUCCUGACAUUUUCCUGACAUUUUCUUAGUUGCAUCUCAGAGCAAAAGCCAUGGUCCACAGAGAGCUUCCAAAGCAUCAGAGGGAUCUCAUUGUUCGUGAUGGUAUGGGGGUACAUGGGUGACUUGCACAUCCAUGAAAGCACUGUUAAUGCUGUACAAUAUUUACAGGUUUUGGAGCGACAUAUGCUGCCAUGUCUUUUUCAGAAGGCCUUGCUUAAUUCAGCAAGACAAUUGCUGACAAUUGCUGAAAUUCGGCACGUAUUACAACAGCAUGGCUCUGUCGUAAAAGAGUCCUAAAGAGGUGCUAAACUGGCCUGCCUGUAGUCCAGACCUGUUACCCACUGAAUACAUUUGGUGCAUAAUGAAACAAAAAAUACAACAAAGGAGACCUUAAAAUGUUGAGCGGCUGAAAUGCUAUAUCAAGCAAGAAUGGGAAUAAAUUUCACUUUCCAAACUACAGCAAUUGGUCUCCUCAGUUCCUGGCAACAAAUUCUAAAUGGGCAUGUAUUUUUCCCAAAAUAAUAACAUCUUGC
ensembl:lncRNA